rnacentral:lncRNA from 1 species
GGUACACGUCGGCACUCCCCAGCUAAUCUCUGAGAACUUUUAAUUCGGGGUUCUGGUGUACGUAAAGGUUAGUCCACGAGGUGCGCAGAAGGGACAAGGGCUACUAGGCCAGUCGCGCUCUCCGAGUUCUGGUGUCCUGUUUGCUCUGAGCUUUCCCUGGAGAACUUCAGAGACGUCAGGUGGUGACGGCGGAAGCACUGAAAAUGCGCAGCCUAGA